rnacentral:rRNA from 1 species
CAAUAGCGUAUAUUAAAGUUGUUGCGGUAAAAAAGCUCGUAGUUGGAUUUCUGUUGAGAGCGACCGGUCCAUACCAUGUAUGCGUAUCUGGCUUGCUCUCGGCAUCCUCUCGAUAGACGUUACUGCGCUUGAUUGCGUGGUGCGGAUCUCGGGACUUUUACUUUGAGGAAAUUAGAGUGUUCACGGCAGGCUUUCGCCAGAAUACAUUAGCAUGGAAUAAUACUAUAGGAUCUUGGUUCUAUUUUGUUGGUUUCUAGAAUUGAGAUAAUGAUUAAUAGGGACAAUUGGGGGCAUUCGUAUCAACACGUCAGAGGUGGAAUUCUUGGAUUGUGUUGCGACGAACUACUGCGAAAGCAUUUGCCAAGGAUGUUUUCAUUGAU